GCUGUUGGCCAAACCCUGCUUCUUGCCCAGUCAUCCUGGCAGCGUGGGAGCUGUGACCACCUCCCUCUUGCCCCGAGUUUGACUGGAGCACAUUCCCCAUGGAAUGACUGACUUACUGUCCGCACUGCCUUCCCUACUACAGUAGUGGAAUUGCUCAGUGGCGAUCCCAAGGCCUGCAAAGCCUAAAAUAACUCCCGUCUCCACCCAGCGUCUAACGUCCAGAGACUUCAGGUCCAGCCUUCCCUUUGCUGUUGACAACACCGCAGCUGAGGAGGAUGGAGUUGUUCGCUGUUGUUAAGACAGACUAGGUGGGCCCUGACUUUGGUGGCUACCAAAUUUUCUGACAGAUGUCAACCUGAGGUUCAGGAAGAAGAAACCAGAGGAACAGGUGGAAGCAAAAGAAGCCCAAAGGCAGACCCAUGGCCUUGACUCACCACAUAGGUCUUGGAGCCAGCCUAUGGAUGAGGAAAGAAGGCAGUGAGCCAGGUCUCUUCCCU